rnacentral:rRNA from 1 species
AGUCGAGCGGACCGACGGGAGCUUGCUCCCUUAGGUCAGCGGCGGACGGGUGAGUAACACGUGGGUAACCUGCCUGUAAGACUGGGAUAACUCCGGGAAACCGGGGCUAAUACCGGAUGCUUGAUUGAACCGCAGGGUUCAAUCAUAAAAGGUGGCUUUUAGCUACCACUUNCAGAUGGACCCGCGGCGCAWUAGCUAGUUGGUGAGGUAACGGCUCACCAAGGCGACGAUGCGUAGCCNACCUGAGAGGGUGAUCGGCCACACUGGGACUGARACACGGCCCAGACUCCUACGGGAGGCAGCAGUAGGGAAUCUUCCGCAAUGGACGAAAGUCUGACGGARCAACGCCGCGUGAGUGAUGAAGGUUUUCGGAUCGUAAAACUCUCUUGUUAGGGAAGAACAAGUACCGUUCGAAUAGGGCGGUACCUUGACGGUACCUAACCAGAAAGCCACGGCUAACUACGUGCCAGCAGCCGCGGUAAUACGUAGGUGGCAAGCGUUGUCCGGAAUUAUUGGGCGUAAAGCGCGCGCAGGCGGUUUCUUAAGUCUGAUGUGAAAGCCCCCGGCUCAACCGGGGAGGGUCAUUGGAAACUGGGGAACUUGAGUGCAGAAGAGGAGAGUGGAAUUCCACGUGUAGCGGUGAAAUGCGUAGAGAUGUGGAGGAACACCAGUGGCGAAGGCGACUCUCUGGUCUGUAACUGACGCUGAGGCGCGAAAGCGUGGGGAGCGAACAGGAUUAGAUACCCUGGUAGUCCACGCCGUAAACGAUGAGUGCUAAGUGUUAGAGGGUUUCCGCCCUUUAGUGCUGCAGCAAACGCAUUAAGCACUCCGCCUGGGGAGUACGGUCGCAAGACUGAAACUCAAAGGAAUUGACGGGGGCCCGCACMAGCGGUGGAGCAUGUGGUUUAAUUCGAAGCAACGCGAAGAACCUUACCAGGUCUUGACAUCCUCUGACAACCCUAGAGAUAGGGCUUCCCCUUCGGGGGCAGAGUGACAGGUGGUGCAUGGUUGUCGUCAGCUCGUGUCGUGAGAUGUUGGGUUAAGUCCCGCAACGAGCGCAACCCUUGAUCUUAGUUGCCAGCAUUCAGUUGGGCACUCUAAGGUGACUGCCGGUGACAAACCGGAGGAAGGUGGGGAUGACGUCAAAUCAUCAUGCCCCUUAUGACCUGGGCUACACACGUGCUACAAUGGGCAGAACAAAGGGCAGCGAAGCCGCGAGGCUAAGCCAAUCCCACAAAUCUGUUCUCAGUUCGGAUCGCAGUCUGCAACUCGACUGCGUGAAGCUGGAAUCGCUAGUAAUCGCGGAUCAGCAUGCCGCGGUGAAUACGUUCCCGGGCCUUGUACACACCGCCCGUCACACCACGAGAGUUUGUAACACCCGAAGUCGGUGAGGUAACCUUUGGAGCC